rnacentral:rRNA from 1 species
GAUGAACGCUAGCGGCAGGCCUAAUACAUGCAAGUCGGACGGGAUUCAGGAGCUUGCUUCUGAUGAGAGUGGCGCACGGGUGCGUAACACGUAUGUAACCUACCUUUAUCAGGGGGAUAGCCUCUCGAAGGAGAGAUUAAGCCCGCAUAAAAUCACAGCACAGCAUUGUGUAAUGAUCAAAUAUUUAUAGGAUAAAGAUGGGCAUGCGGAACAUUAGCUAGAUGGCGGGGUAACGGCCCACCAUGGCGACGAUGUUUAGGGGAUCUGAGAGGAUGGCCCCCCACACUGGUACUGAGACACGGACCAGACUCCUACGGGAGGCAGCAGUAAGGAAUAUUGGUCAAUGGGCGGAAGCCUGAACCAGCCAUGCCGCGUGCAGGAAGACGGCCCUACGGGUUGUAAACUGCUUUUAUACGGGAAUAAACCCAGAUACGUGUAUCUGGCUGAAUGUGCUGUAAGAAUAAGGAUCGGCUAACUCCGUG